rnacentral:rRNA from 1 species
CCUACGGGAGGCAGCAGUGAGGAAUAUUGGUCAAUGGACGAGAGUCUGAACCAGCCAAGUAGCGUGAAGGAUGACUGCCCUAUGGGUUGUAAACUUCUUUUAUAUGGGAAUAAAAUGUUCCACGUGUGGGAUUUUGUAUGUACCAUAUGAAUAAGGAUCGGCUAACUCCGUGCCAGCAGCCGCGGUAAUACGGAGGAUCCGAGCGUUAUCCGGAUUUAGUGGGUUUAAAGGGAGCGUAGGUGGUUUGUUAAGUCAGUUGUGAAAGUUUGCGGCUCAACCGUAAAAUUGCAGUUGAAUCUGGCAGUCUUGAGUACAGUAGAGGUGGGCGGAAUUCGUGGUGUAGCGGUGAAAUGCUUAGAUAUCACGAAGAACUCCGAUUGCGAAGGCAGCUCACUGGACUGCAACUGACACUGAGGCUCGAAAGUGUGGGUAUCAAACAGGAUUAGAUACCCCUGUAGUC